rnacentral:rRNA from 1 species
UACAGAGGGGGCAAGCGUUGUUCGGAAUUACUGGGCGUAAAGGGUUUGUAGGUGGCCACUUAAGUCAGACGUGAAAUCCCUCAGCUUAACUGGGGAACUGCGUCUGAUACUGCGUGGCUUGAGUGCAGGAGAGGAACGCGGAAUUCCAGGUGUAGCGGUGAAAUGCGUAGAUAUCUGGAGGAACACCGGUGGCGAAGGCGGCGUUCUGGACUGUAACUGACACUGAAAAACGAAAGGACCAAGGGGCAGGCAAACGGG